AUUGAACGCUGGCGGAAUGCUUAACACAUGCAAGUCGAGCGGGGUGUAGCAAUACACCUAGCGGCGGACGGGUGAGGAAUACAUAGGAAUCUGCCUCAGAGCGGGGGACAGCCCGGGGAAACCCGGAUUAAUACCGCAUGAUGUCGCAAGACCAAAGUGGGGACCGCAAGGCCCCACACUCUGAGAUGAGCCUAUGUCCGAUUAGCUAGUUGGCGGGGUAANAGCCCACCAAGGCGACGAUCGGUAGCUGGUCUGAGAGGACGAUCAGCCACACCGGAACUGAGACACGGUCCGGACUCCUACGGGAGGCAGCAGUGGGGAAUAUUGGACAAUGGGCGCAAGCCUGAUCCAGCAAUUCCGCGUGGGUGAAGAAGGCCUGG
rnacentral:rRNA from 1 species